AUUGAACGCUGGCGGCAGGCCUAACACUUGCAAGUCGAGCGGUAGAGAGGUGCUUGCAUCUCUUGAGAGCGGCGGACGGGUGAGUAAUGCCUAGGAAUCUGCCUAGUGGUGGGGGAUAACGUUCGGAAACGGACGCUAAUACCGCAUACGUCCUACGGGAGAAAGCGGGGGAUCUUCGGACCUCGCGCCAUUAGAUGAGCCUAGGUCGGAUUAGCUAGUUGGUGAGGUAAUGGCUCACCAAGGCGACGAUCCGUAACUGGUCUGAGAGGAUGAUCAGUCACACUGGAACUGAGACACGGUCCAGACUCCUACGGGAGGCAGCAGUGGGGAAUAUUGGACAAUGGGCGAAAGACCUGAUCCAGCCAUGCCGCGUGUGUGAAGAAGGUCUUCGGAUUGUAAAGCACUUUAAGUUGGG
rnacentral:rRNA from 1 species